rnacentral:lncRNA from 1 species
GAAUUAAGUUAGGGAACUAGAGUCCCAUUAAACUGGAACUCUCUUCGCUUAUCCAUGCAUGGGAUGCCCAACCAAAUUACCGUGGCCUUUUAUUUUAGCAUGAAAGAAAGGAAAAAAAAGUGGCGCACAGACUAAAGUGGGUGGCACAAGAGUCCUUCUCUAGAAGGACUCUUAACAAACUCCACAAAACCCUAUUUGAUAAGGUUUAAAAAGGGGGUGCCUCGAUAAACCAUCUCAUGACGAAAUAUGAGAGCUUGGUGGUGUGUAAGAAAGAAAAGAAAAGG